rnacentral:rRNA from 1 species
UUGAACGCUGGCGGCAUGCCUUACACAUGCAAGUCGAACGGUAACAGUUAAGCUGACGAGUGGCGAACGGGUGAGUAAUGUAUCGGAACGUGCCCAGUAGUGGGGGAUAGCCCGGCGAAAGCCGGAUUAAUACCGCAUACGACCUACGGGUGAAAGCGGGGGAUCGCAAGACCUCGCGCUAUUGGAGCGGCCGAUAUCAGAUUAGGUAGUUGGUGAGGUAAAGGCUCACCAAGCCGACGAUCUGUAGCUGGUCUGAGAGGACGACCAGCCACACUGGGACUGAGACACGGCCCAGACUCCUACGGGAGGCAGCAGUGGGGAAUUUUGGACAAUGGACGCAAGUCUGAUCCAGCCAUGCCGCGUGCGGAAGAAGGCCUUCGGGUUGUAAACCGCUUUUGUCAGGGAAGAAAAGUCUGGAGCUAAUAUCUCCGGACGAUGACGGUACCUGAAGAAUAAGCACCGGCUAACUACGUGCCAGCAGCCGCGGUAAUACGUAGGGUGCAAGCGUUAAUCGGAAUUACUGGGCGUAAAGCGUGCGCAAGCGGUUCUAUAAGACAGAUGUGAAAUCCCCGGGCUCAACCUGGGAACUGCAUUUGUGACUGUAGAGCUGGAGUACGGUAGAGGGGGAUGGAAUUCCGCGUGUAGCAGUGAAAUGCGUGGAUAUGCGAGGAACACCGAUGGCGAAGGCAAUCCCCUGGACCUGUACUGACGCUCAUGCACGAAAGCGUGGGGAGCAAACAGGAUUAGAUACCUGGUAGUCCACGCCCUAAACGAUGUCAACUGGUUGUUGGGAAGGUUCCUUCUCAGUAACGUAGCUAACGCGUGAAGUUGACCGCCUGGGGAGUACGGCCGCAAGGUUGAAACUCAAAGGAAUUGACGGGGACCCGCAACAAGCGGUGGAUGAUGUGGUUUAAUCGAUGCAACGCGAAAAACCUUACCUACCCUUGACAUGUCUGGAAUUUUGCAGAGAUGUGAAAGUGCUCGAAAGAGAACCAGAACACAGGGUGCUGCAUGGCCGUCGUCAGCUCGUGUCGUGAGAUGUUGGGUUAAGUCCCGCAACGAGCGCAACCUUGUCAUUAGUUGCUACGAAAGGGCACUCUAAUGAGACUGCCGGUGACAAACCGGAGGAAGGUGGGGAUGACGUCAGGUCCUCAUGGCCCAUUAUGGGUAGGGCUACACACGUCAUACAAUGGCCGGUACAGAGGGCUGCCAACCCGCGAGGGGGGGGAGCCAAUCCAGAAAAACCGGUCGUAGUCCGGAUCGCAGUCUGCAACUCGACUGCGUGAAGUCGGAAUCGCUAGUAAUCGCGGAUCAGCUUGCCGCGGUGAAUACGUUCCCGGGUCUUGUACACACCGCCCGUCACACCAUGGGAGCGGGUUCUGCCAGAAGUAGUUAGCCUAACCGCAAGGAGGGCGAUUACCACGGCAGGGUUCGUGGCUGGGGUG